UACUUCUUGUGCUGCCAAAGACCCAUCUC
rnacentral:piRNA from 1 species